UGAACGCUGGCGGCAGGCCUAAUACAUGCAAGUCGAACGGCAGCACAGCAGAGCUUGCUCUGUGGGUGGCGAGUUGGCGGACGGGUGAGGAAUACAUGGGAAUCUGCCCAGUCGUGGGGGAUAACGUAGGGAAACUUACGCUAAUACCGUCAUGCGCCCUUCCGGGGGAAAGCCGGGGACCUUCGGGCCUGGCGCGAUUGGAUGAGCCCAUGUCGGAUUAGCUAGUUGGCGGGGUAACGGCCCACCAAGGCGACGAUCCGUAGCUGGUCUGAGAGGACGAUCAGCCACACUGGGACUGAGACACGGCCCAGACUCCUACGGGAGGUCAGCAGUUGGGGAAUAUUGGACAAUGGGGGAAACCCUGAUCCAGCGACGCCGCGUGGGUGAAGAAGGCCUGCGGGUUGUAAA
rnacentral:rRNA from 1 species